GUGGGGAAUUUUGGACAAUGGGCGCAAGCCUGAUCCAGCCAUUCCGCGUGCAGGAUGAAGGCCUUCGGGUUGUAAACUGCUUUUGUACGGAACGAAAAGCCUCUGGUUAAUACCCGGGGGUCAUGACGGUACCGUAAGAAUAAGCACCGGCUAACUACGUGCCAGCAGCCGCGGUAAUACGUAGGGUGCGAGCGUUAAUCGGAAUUACUGGGCGUAAAGCGUGCGCAGGCGGUGAUGUAAGACAGUUGUGAAAUCCCCGGGCUCAACCUGGGAACUGCAUCUGUGACUGCAUUGCUGGAGUGCGGCAGAGGGGGAUGGAAUUCCGCGUGUAGCAGUGAAAUGCGUAGAUAUGCGGAGGAACACCGAUGGUGAAGGCAAUCCCCUGGGCCUGCACUGACGCUCAUGCACGAAAGCGUGGGGAGCAAACAGGAUUAGAUACCCGUGUAGUCC
rnacentral:rRNA from 1 species